rnacentral:rRNA from 1 species
AUGGAGCUUAUUACAGUAAAAUUAUUUUCCUCAUCUAGAUCAGUUUUCUCAAUCCCUCAACCAAGAUGGGCAGGGGGUGGGGGAUAUGGAGAAGGACGAAGCUCCUGUUGUGGUUGGUGCCGUCGCAAAUGGUGGAUGUUGACCAUGUUGUUCCAUGGAGGGAAGGUAAUAUUGAAGAACAAUUAUCUCACAAAGACAUUGACCAUCCACUCAGCGCAACAGCAGGUUUCUAGGCCACGAUGGUUUAUGGAUCCAAGGAGUAGAUGCACUGACUGCAGUUUGAAGCCAAUGACUGACAUGCAGGUACACUGGAGCAUAAUUUUAUCAAUUACCUAUGGAAGACAGUCCAACAUGGAUGCUCUUAAGAGUACAUGUAUGUAG